rnacentral:rRNA from 1 species
CCUACGGGAGGCAGCAGUGAGGAAUAUUGGUCAAUGGGCGCGAGCCUGAACCAGCCAAGUAGCGUGAAGGAUGACUGCCCUACGGGUUGUAAACUUCUUUUAUAAAGGAAUAAAGUGAGGCACGUGUGCCUUUUUGUAUGUACUUUAUGAAUAAGGAUCGGCUAACUCCGUGCCAGCAGCCGCGGGAAUACGGAGGAUCCGAGCGUUAUCCGGAUUUAUUGGGUUUAAAGGGAGCGGAGAUGGGUUGUUAAGUCAGUUGUGAAAGUUUGCGGCUCAACCGUAAAAUUGCAAUUGAUACUGGCAGACUUGAGUGCAGGUGAGGUGAGCGGAAUUCGAGGUGUAGCGGUGAAAUGCUUAGAUAUCACGAAGAACUCCGAUUGCGAAGGCAGCUUACUAAACUGCCACUGACGUUGAUGCUCGAAAGUGUGGGUAUCAAACAGGAUUAGAUACCCGAGUAGUC